ACUCCUACGGGAGGCAGCGGUGGGGAAUUUUGGACAAUGGGGGCAACCCUGAUCCAGCCAUGCCGCGUGAGUGAAGAAGGCCUUCGGGUUGUAAAGCUCUUUCGGCCGGGAAGAAAUCGUGGUCUCUAACAUAGGCCAUGGAUGACGGUACCGGACUAAGAAGCACCGGCUAACUACGUGCCAGCAGCCGCGGUAAUAC
rnacentral:rRNA from 1 species